CCUGAAAUAAAAAUAAGGUUUAGGGCCUUAGACUAAGUUAUCCGGACAACCUAACUUAUAAUAUUGGGCCAAGCCCAAUAACCCUAAGGCUAAAAUAAACAGCGUUUUUUACUGCUACUGACCUAGACCUACUGUACAAUUUACAAUCAAAAGUUGAAAAUCAAAACCCUAAAGACUAGAGAGUAGAGACUUCUCUCCAAAAAAAAACCCUAGACAGUAAAUUAAAACUCUAAAGAGUAGAGAGUAGAGACCCAUUGAAGAUUUGAAGUUCAAUCAAAACUGGAAUUCGAACUUCUAAAUUCUUCUAAAUCUUCAACAAUUUACAAUCUAUGUGGGAAAGUCAUGGCUCUCAAAGUUGAUGAUACUCCAACUCCAAGUCCACCUGAAAGUGCUGCUCAAAGUCCACAUGAGGCUGCCAUGGGAAAUAGUCAAACCUGAAGAUUUCUAUUUUGAAUGAAUUGAACUAUUUUAUUUUACUUUUUGCAAGAAAUAGUUAAAUCUUGAAUUUAUGUUUUGUAAUCUGAAGUUGGUGGAUAAUUUAUGGUUUUGAAUGGCUCUGUUUGGGGAAUCA